rnacentral:rRNA from 1 species
AGUUAGUGGCGGACGGGUGAGUAACACGUGGGAACGUGCGUUUUGGUUGAAUAACUCAGGGAAACUUGUGCUAAUACCGAAUGUGCCCUUCGGGGGAAAGAUUUAUCCAUUAGAGCGGCCCGCGUCUGAUUAGCUAGUUGGUGAGGUAAAGGCUCACCAAGGCGGAUCAGUAGCUGGUCUGAGAGGAUGAUCAGCCACAUUGGGACUGAGACACGGCCCAAACCUACGGGAGGCAGCAGUGGGGAAUCUUGCGCAAUGGGCGAAAGCCUGACGCAGCCAUCGCGUGAAUGAUGAAGGUCUUAGGAUUGUAAAAUUCUUUCACCGGGGACGAUAAUGACUACCCGGAGAAGAAGCCCCGGCUAACUUCGUGCCAGCAGCCGCGGUAAUACGAAGGGGUAGCGUUGCUCGGAAUUACUGGGCGUAAAGGGAGCGUAGGCGGACAUUUAAGUCAGGGGAAAUCCCGGGGCUCAACCUCGGAAUUGCCUUUGAUACUGGGUGUCUUGAGUAUGAGAGGUAUGUGGAAUUCCGAGUGUAGAGGUGAAAUUCGUAGAUAUUCGGAAGAACACCAGUCGAAGGCGACAUACUGGCUCAUUACUGACGCUGAGGCUCGAAAGCGUGGGGAGCAAACGAUUAGAUACCCUGGUAGUCCACGCCGUAAACGAUGAUUGCUAGUUGUCGGGAUGCAU